rnacentral:misc_RNA from 1 species
AACGCACAUUGCGCCCCCUGGUAUUCCGGGGGGCAUGCCUGUCCGAGCGUCAUUGCUGCCCAUCAAGCGCGGCUUGUGUGUUGGGCCACCGUCCCCCCUCGGGGGGACGGGCCCGAAAGGCAGCGGCGGCACCGCGUCCGGUCCUCGAGCGUAUGGGGCUCUGUCACCCGCUCUGGAGGCCUGGCCGGCGCCUGCCGACCCCAACCUUUUUUUAACCAGGUUGACCUCGGAUCAGGUAGGGAUACCCGCUGAACUUAA